rnacentral:lncRNA from 1 species
UUAAAUAAAUAUUACAUUAUUAAUUUUUUUCUGCUUCUCUCCUUUUCACCACGUCUACUUUCUACUUUCCACUAGAUCUGCUGACUUACCGCUUUGCUUCUGCUUGUCUGCUUCUCUACAAUUAUACUUGGAUUUACUCUUCAUCAUUGCUCUGGUCUUCCUCUCGCAUUUGUUGUGUUCUCCAACGAAGCUCACACUUCGUUUCUCAAUCUCCAAACUUUGUAAAUCUUGUUUCUACUUAUCCUCUCUAACUUUAGUCUCUCCCUUCUGCUAUUUUCUUUUGUCAGAUCUCCUCCUCUUACUCUCUACUUCUGGUCACGCCUUUUGUAGGCAGCAGGAAGUAGGUCAGAUUUCCCGCACGCCUCCUGCCUCUCCUUUUUCGAUGAGCAUUUCCCUUUCUAGUCGUCUUUUUUCCUCUUAUGCUUUCUACAUUUUUUUUUUUCAUUCUUCAAAACAGCAUCAUUUUGUGAUCUGUAUGGGAGUAGUAGAGCUUGACAACUCUCAAACAAUUAGUAAUUGAAAAUAAAGAGAAUUUUUAUCUUUAAAGAAGAUAAG